GGGUUGUGAGGUUAAGCGACUAAGCGUACACGGUGGAUGCCCUGGCAGUCAGAGGCGAUGAAGGGCGUGCUAAUCUGCGAUAAGCGCCGGUAAGGUGAUAUGAACCGUUAUAACCGGCGAUACCCGAAUGGGGAAACCCAGUGUGAUUCGUCACACUAUCAUUAACUGAAUCCAUAGGUUAAUGAGGCGAACCGGGGGAACUGAAACAUCUAAGUACCCCGAGGAAAAGAAAUCAACCGAGAUUCCCCCAGUAGCGGCGAGCGAACGGGGAGGAGCCCAGAGCCUGAAUCAGCAUGUGUGUUAGUGGAAGCGUCUGGAAAGGCGCGCGAUACAGGGUGACAGCCCCGUACACAAAAGCGCAUGUGCUGUGAGCUCGAUGAGUAGGGCGGGACACGUGGUAUCCUGUCUGAAUAUGGGGGGACCAUCCUCCAAGGCUAAAUACUCCUGACUGACCGAUAGUGAACCAGUACCGUGAGGGAAAGGCGAAAAGAACCCCGGCGAGGGGAGUGAAAAAGAACCUGAAACCGUGUACGUACAAGCAGUGGGAGCNNGUGACUGCGUACCUUUUGUAUAAUGGGUCAGCGACUUAUAUUCUGUAGCAAGGUUAACCGAAUAGGGGAGCCGGAGGGAAACCGAGUCUUAAUUGGGCGUUAAGUUGCAGGGUAUAGACCCGAAACCCGGUGAUCUAGCCAUGGGCAGGUUGAAGGUUGGGUAACACUAACUGGAGGACCGAACCGACUAAUGUUGAAAAAUUAGCGGAUGACCUGUGGCUGGGGGUGAAAGGCCAAUCAAACCGGGAGAUAGCUGGUUCUCCCCGAAAGCUAUUUAGGUAGCGCCUCGUGAAUUCAUCUCCGGGGGUAGAGCACUGUUUCGGCUAGGGGGCCAUCCCGGCUUACCAACCCGAUGCAAACUGCGAAUACCGGAGAAUGUUAUCACGGGAGACACACGGCGGGUGCUAACGUCCGUCGUGAAGAGGGAAACAACCCAGACCGCCAGCUAAGGUCCCAAAGUCAUGGUUAAGUGGGAAACGAUGUGGGAAGGCCCAGACAGCCAGGAUGUUGGCUUAGAAGCAGCCAUCAUUUAAAGAAAGCGUAAUAGCUCACUGGUCGAGUCGGCCUGCGCGGAAGAUGUAACGGGGCUAAACCAUGCACCGAAGCUGCGGCAGCGACGCUUAUGCGUUGUUGGGUAGGGGAGCGUUCUGUAAGCCUGUGAAGGUGUGUCGUGAGGCAUGCUGGAGGUAUCAGAAGUGCGAAUGCUGACAUAAGUAACGAUAAAGCGGGUGAAAAGCCCGCUCGCCGGAAGACCAAGGGUUCCUGUCCAACGUUAAUCGGGGCAGGGUGAGUCGACCCCUAAGGCGAGGCCGAAAGGCGUAGUCGAUGGGAAACGGGUUAAUAUUCCCGUACUUGGUGUUACUGCGAAGGGGGGACGGAGAAGGCUAUGUUGGCCGGGCGACGGUUGUCCCGGUUUAAGCGUGUAGGUGUGUGUUCCAGGUAAAUCCGGUUCACUUUAACACUGAGGCGUGAUGACGAGGCACUACGGUGCUGAAGUAACAAAUGCCCUGCUUCCAGGAAAAGCCUCUAAGCAUCAGGUAACAUCAAAUCGUACCCCAAACCGACACAGGUGGUCAGGUAGAGAAUACCAAGGCGCUUGAGAGAACUCGGGUGAAGGAACUAGGCAAAAUGGUGCCGUAACUUCGGGAGAAGGCACGCUGACACGUAGGUGAAGUGAUUUACUCAUGGAGCUGAAGUCAGUCGAAGAUACCAGCUGGCUGCAACUGUUUAUUAAAAACACAGCACUGUGCAAACACGAAAGUGGACGUAUACGGUGUGACGCCUGCCCGGUGCCGGAAGGUUAAUUGAUGGGGUCAGCGCAAGCGAAGCUCCUGAUCGAAGCCCCGGUAAACGGCGGCCGUAACUAUAACGGUCCUAAGGUAGCGAAAUUCCUUGUCGGGUAAGUUCCGACCUGCACGAAUGGCGUAAUGAUGGCCAGGCUGUCUCCACCCGAGACUCAGUGAAAUUGAACUCGCUGUGAAGAUGCAGUGUACCCGCGGCAAGACGGAAAGACCCCGUGAACCUUUACUAUAGCUUGACACUGAACAUUGAGCCUUGAUGUGUAGGAUAGGUGGGAGGCUUUGAAGUGUGGACGCCAGUCUGCAUGGAGCCGACCUUGAAAUACCACCCUUUAAUGUUUGAUGUUCUAACGUGGACCCGUUACCCGGGUUGCGGACAGUGUCUGGUGGGUAGUUUGACUGGGGCGGUCUCCUCCUAAAGAGUAACGGAGGAGCACGAAGGUUGGCUAAUCCUGGUCGGACAUCAGGAGGUUAGUGCAAUGGCAUAAGCCAGCUUGACUGCGAGCGUGACGGCGCGAGCAGGUGCGAAAGCAGGUCAUAGUGAUCCGGUGGUUCUGAAUGGAAGGGCCAUCGCUCAACGGAUAAAAGGUACUCCGGGGAUAACAGGCUGAUACCGCCCAAGAGUUCAUAUCGACGGCGGUGUUUGGCACCUCGAUGUCGGCUCAUCACAUCCUGGGGCUGAAGUAGGUCCCAAGGGUAUGGCUGUUCGCCAUUUAAAGUGGUACGCGAGCUGGGUUUAGAACGUCGUGAGACAGUUCGGUCCCUAUCUGCCGUGGGCGCUGGAGAACUGAGGGGGGCUGCUCCUAGUACGAGAGGACCGGAGUGGACGCAUCACUGGUGUUCGGGUUGUCAUGCCAAUGGCACUGCCCGGUAGCUAAAUGCGGAAGAGAUAAGUGCUGAAAGCAUCUAAGCACGAAACUUGCCCCGAGAUGAGUUCUCCCUGAGACUUAAAGUCUCCUGAAGGAACGUUGAAGACGACGACGUUGAUAGGCCGGGUGUGUAAGCGCAGCGAUGCGUUGAGCUAACCGGUACUAAUGAACCGUGAGGCUUAACCCUACAACGCCGAAG
rnacentral:rRNA from 1 species